GGGGGGGGCAAGCGUUGUUCGGAAUUACUGGGCGUAAAGGGCUCGUAGGCGGCCAACUAAGUCGGACGUGAAAUCCCCAGGCUCAACCUGGGAACUGCGUCCGAUACUGGAUGGCUUGAAUCCGGGAGAGGGAUGCAGAAUUCCAGGUGUAGCGGUGAAAUGCGUAGAUAUCUGGAGGAAUACCGGUGGCGAAGGCGGCAUCCUGGACCGGCAUUGACGCUGAGGAGCGAAAGCCAGGGGAGCAAACGGGAUUAGAUACCCCGGUAGUCCUGGCCCUAAACGAUGAAUGCUUGGUGUAACGGGUAUCGAUCCCUGUUGUGCCGAAGCUAACGCAUUAAGCAUUCCGCCUGGGGAGUACGGUCGCAAGGCUGAA
rnacentral:rRNA from 1 species